rnacentral:rRNA from 1 species
GUGGGGAAUAUUGGGCAAUGGGCGAAAGCCUGACCCAGCAACGCCGCGUGAAGGAAGAAGGCCCUCGGGUUGUAAACUUCUUUUAAGAGGGACGAAAGAAAUGACGGUACCUCUUGAAUAAGCCACGGCUAACUACGUGCCAGCAGCCGCGGUAAUACGUAGGUGGCGAGCGUUAUCCGGAUUUACUGGGUGUAAAGGGCGUGUAGGCGGGAGUGCAAGUCAGAUGUGAAAAUUAUGGGCUCAACCCAUAACCUGCAUUUGAAACUGUUCUUCUUGAGGGAUGGAGAGGCAGGCGGAAUUCCGUGUGUAGCGGUGAAAUGCGUAGAUAUACGGAGGAACACCAGUGGCGAAGGCGGCCUGCUGGACAUUAACUGACGCUGAGGCGCGAAAGCGUGGGGAGCAAACAGGAUUAGAUACCCGGGUAGUCC